rnacentral:rRNA from 1 species
GAUGAACGCUAGCGGGAGGCUUAACACAUGCAAGUCGGGGGGCAGCACGAGAUAGCAAUAUUUUGGUGGCGACCGGCGCACGGGUGAGUAACACGUAUGCAACCUACCCUGUACAGGGGGAUAACCCGGAGAAAUUCGGACUAAUAUCCCAUAAUGAUAUUUGGAGGCAUCUUUAAAUAUUUAAAGCUCAGGCGGUACGGGCUGGGCAUGCGGAACAUUAGCUAGUUGGCAGGGUAACGGCCUACCAAGGCUGCGAUGUUUAGGGGACCUGAGAGGGUGAUCCCCCACACUGGUACUGAGACACGGACCAGACUCCUACGGGAGGCAGCAGUGAGGAAUAUUGGUCAAUGGGCGCAAGCCUGAACCAGCCAUCCCGCGUGAAGGAAGAAGGCGCUAUGCGCUGUAAACUUCUUUUCCAGGGGGUGAAUUUUCCGGUCGUGACCGGGAUUGACGGUACCCUGGGAAUAAGCAUCGGCUAACUCCGUGCCAGCAGCCGCCGUAAUAC